GAUGAACGCUGGCGGCGUGCCUAAUACAUGCAAGUCGAGCGAACGGACGAUGAGCUUGCUUCUCUGAUGUUAGCGGCGGACGGGUGAGUAACACGUGGAUAACCUACCUAUAAGACUGGGAUAAUUUCGGGAAACCGGAGCUAAUACCGUAUAAUAUUUUGAACCGCAUGGUUCAAAAGUAAAAUACGGUCUUUCUGUCUCUUAUAGAUGGAUCCGCGCUGCAUUAGAUGGUUGGUAAGGUAACGGCUUACCAAGGCAACGAUGCAUAGCCGACCUGAGAGGGGGAUCGGCCACACGGGAACUGAGACACGGACCAGACUCCUACGGGAGGCAGCAGUAGGGAAUCUUCCGCAGUGGGCGAAAGCCUGACGGAGCAACGCCGCGUGAGUGAUGAAGGUCUUCGGAUCGUAAAACUCUGUUAUUAGGGAAGAACAUAUGUGUAAGGAACUGUGCACAUCUUGACGGUACCGAAUCAGAAAGCAACGGCUAACUACGUG
rnacentral:rRNA from 1 species